UGAGAGGAAGUAUGCAAUCCUUGUCCUCUGAAUAUGACUUACUUCACCUAAAACAAUAAUUCCUAGCUCUCUUCAUUUCCCAGCAAUGCCAUACUUUUUAAAAGCACUUCCAAUUCUAUUUCAGUAAUAACAAUAAACACUAGAGUGUGGGAUAGCUAUGAUGAUUUUUUUUAGUGACAAAUGGACUCAAGAAGUGACAGUCAGUCAGCCAAGACUUGGCUAAGAUUAAGCCAAGAUUUCAAUAUUAGCAUGGCUUCCAGACUCUGGCCAGUGCUCUUUCUCUUUCAGCAUGGGAAUUAGUAGUAAAGGUUUGGAACAUGUGAUCUCAGAUCUCUCAUAUUUCCAUGUCAUAAAUUUGUUUUCAGGGCAUGGAUUGUAUCCUGCUUCUUUUAAGUGUGCUGGAAUUCUGCAUUUCAGUGUCCACUUCAGCAUUUGCAUGCAAAGUCACCUGCUGUGGCUCUAGUGAGGUUGUGCUAAUUAUGCCAUCAGAUGCUGAAAUGG